GAUGAAGAACGCAGUGAAAUGCGAUACUUGGUGUGAAUUGCAGAAUCCCGUGAACCAUCGAGUCUUUGAACGCAAGUUGCGCCCGAAGCCAUUAGGCCGAGGGCACGCCUGCCUGGGCGUCACACGUCGUUGCCCCCCCAUCUACUCCUUCGGGAUUGCGGGGGGCGGAUGAUGGCCUCCCGUGCGCCUUGUCGCGCGGUUGGCAUAAAUGCCAAGUCCUCGGUGACGCACGCCACGACAAUCGGUGGUUGCGAAACCUCGGUUGCCCGUCGUGUGCGGUCGUCGCGCAUCGAGGGCUCGAAAAAAUUGUCGGGCUCCGGCUCGGCUUUCAACGCGACCCCAGGUCAGGCGGGGUUACCCGCUGAAUUUAAGCAUAUCAAUAAGCGGAGGA
rnacentral:misc_RNA from 1 species